CCGGGCAUGCUGAGAACUUGCCCCAUGCUACCAGCCUCCCAGCUGUGAAGCAAGCACGGUUUUCAGAUUUCACACCACCCUGCCUGCAGCAGCUUCUGUGCUAUGUCUACACUCUGGAUUCACACCCUUCCCUGAGUUCUGUCCAGGAAUCUUUGAGUUCAGUCGAAAUUGUUACAAAGUUCAGCUGGAAGUUUCCUUUUUCAUGUGGACUUUUCCCGGUUCCUCUGGUAGCCCUCUCCAAGGACCUCUGUGAGAUAAAGUCAGAAAUGGCUUCCCUGGGGACUGAGAGAGCCCACAGGGGCGCUUCCCGUCGGGUCUUCUAUCACUAUAUUUUGUUUGGCUCUCUAAAAUUGUCUCAGCUCCUGGUAAGGUCAAAUACUUUUUCCAUGAUCUGGACCUUCAGGUUCCGCAGUGAGGGUGUGUGUUUGGGGGUGGACAAUCCCACUUUCACUUUCACUCUUUGAGCAUUCACAGUUUUGGGGCUGUUUCCUGGGGCCUGCAGGAGCAAUUCACUUCCUUCAAAGAGUCUGUGGAUUCUCUCAGCCUUCAUGGUGUGUUCCUGCAGUUCCCGGAGUAAAAGUUCUAGAGAAUUUUCUGCUAGGAAACAUCCCAGACAGCUGGAUACUAAUCAAGUGUACUAAAUGGGUCAAAUUAUCUGCAUAAUGAAAACAAACCCAAAAGGAUUGACAGGAUUUUCUCAAAUCAUUGCUGACCUACUACUUGAAAACCACAAAUCCUCAACUAAUUUCUGACACAGCGGAUUAUUGGGAAACUUCAUCUGUUGUACCAAAGCAAAAUUGUAACACUUGGAAAAUUGAAACAUUCAGACCGCUUUUGCCACCUCUCUUAACUGAAAGAUUUUCUGUUCUUAUCUGUUUGUUAUUUUACACAUGGUUAUUCUAAUGGUAUUAUUUUUGAAUCCAGAAUAAACAUUUAGGAACAAGGUAUUAUCCAUAAAUUCAAAAUAACCAUGACAAGUUCUUUAUUAAGGAAAAAUAAAAACUUCAAAGGAUGACUAAGAAUAAUACAUCUAGAGUAUGUUCCAUUUAAAUGGAUUUUAAAAACUAACAAUAAAAAUGAUUUUUGAAACAAA